rnacentral:lncRNA from 1 species
GAAGGAAAACAUCAAGCUUGAUAGCACUGAAGAUACAAAUAAUUCAGUUAAAAGGAAAUAGAAGAAACAAAUAUAAGUAGAAACAGAAGUACCAAAAUCUAAUUAAUGUUAUGUGCAUAUAUAACGCCCCAACUAAAUUGUCUAGAAUAUUUAGUCGAGACAUAUAUAAUUGAAUCCGAGUACAUUAAAAUUACAGAAUAAUUAGUUGAACUAUGAGAUAUCACAAGAACAAUGUGAUAAUCCAGUACAAUACAGCAGAAAGAGAAUUAAAUUCUACAUGAACAGAUUAACAUAAAAACAAAGAAGAAGACGAAGUCUUCUAAUCCGAUAAUCCAAGCUCGGCCUCGAUCAUCGGUUCCUGCCCGGUCCUUUCUCCGGUUAACAAGUCUACCUAAAAAAAUUGAAAGGCGUGGGAUGAGACUACUAAGCCUCAGUGAGUCCUACUACCCAACUAAUGGUGACUACACCAGGGUACCUAAACUGAUAGUUUCUAAUCAUGAAUUAAUUCUGACAUAAUCUUCAUUAUAUUACAUGAAAGCAUAAAGGUGUAUCACAAAGUAUUAUCUGAGUUCAUUUUAAAACAUCACGGUCACCCGAGGUGAGUGUCUCGGAGUGCCGGCCUACCCGCAUUGCGAUAAUAAUAUACGUCGCUACGGUCAUACCUCACAUUUAUUAUUAAUUUUUCAUUAGUGGAUUUCUAAUGAAUCGUCUGACAUGGCACAUUAAGCCCACGCAUAACUGACAUGG